rnacentral:rRNA from 1 species
AUUGAACGCUGGCGGCAGGCUUAACACAUGCAAGUCGAGCGGGGUGAUGGUGCUUGCACUAUCACUUAGAGGCGGACGGGUGAGUAAUGCUUAGGAAUCUGCCUAUUAGUGGGGGACAACAUCUCGAAAGGGAUGCUAAUACCGCAUACGUCCUACGGGAGAAAGCAGGGGAUCACUUGUGACCUUGCGCUACUAGAUGAGCCUAAGUCGGAUUAGCUAGUUGGUGGAGUAAAGGCCUACCAAGGCGACGAUCUGUAGCGGGUCUGAGAGGAUGAUCCGACACACUGGGACUGAGACACGGCCCAGACUCCUACGGGAGGCAGCAGUGGGGAAUAUUGGACAAUGGGGGGAACCCUGAUCCAGCCAUGCCGCGUGUGUGAAGAAGGCAUUAUGGUUGUAAAGCACUUUAAGCGAGGAGGAGGCUCUUUUGGUUAAUACCCAAGAUGAGUGGACGUUACUCGCAGAAUAAGCACCGGCUAAGUCUGUGCCAGCCGCCGCCGUAA